UACAUUUUAAUGCGUCUAUUUGUGAUGUUCGGAAAUUGGAGUGAUGUUUCAGUGUGUGAUGUGCUGCGGGGCAGGUACUCCGCGACCCCCGGUAAAGCCAUGGCAAGGAUGAGAAUCUCUUGAUCUCUGAGGUUGCCUUGGCAUCCCAGAGCCUCUCCCCGUGCAGAUUAUGAGGGGAAUAUUUUCUAAAUCCGUUGUUUACUGAUCUUUUUUGUGUUUAAAUGAUGCAUUUUGCUCAGUUUGUGUUGUCUAAGCUUUAGGUGGCAUUUCCUGUGGGGCUGGUGGAGUGCUGAAGGUUGCUGUUGAUGCUGGGAGAGGCAAUUGCCCUGCAAAGCUUUCCUAUAAAACAUAACUAUAUGAAAUAAUGGAGUUUCUACGAUAAGAACAGGAUGUAGGCUCUCAGUUGAGAACUGGGCAGUAACUUCAUCAACUAGAGCUGCAUCACGGAUGAUAUCCAAGCUCUUCUUUAAGACUGAGAGCACAGCAAGGAGCAGAACCCAGGUUCACGUGCGUUGAAACAAUGCCAGGAGCACAUAAAUCUCUCGGAAACCAGCAUAAAAUAAUGCAUUAUAGAUGCCUUUAUCUCAGUCAAGUGCCUGCCACUAUAGUGGGUGAACAUGAAGCUGCACUUGCUGAGGUAACACACAGGUGAUGCACUGGCACUCCUGGGUUAAUGAGAAUUGUUGCCAGGUGUUUCCCGUUAGGUGUUUUCCAUUAGGUUUCCAUUAGUGGAGCUGCACUGAAAAGCUGGAGCCCUGAAGCUGUGCCAUCCAUAGUGAGUGUUGUCUAGUGAGUGUCCUGAUGUCGCUGAGCUAACGCUGUGCUGUCACUAAGUCAGCUCAUUCUUGUUUAAACUCUCUUGAAAAGUGCUGGAAGUGCACAUGGGAGUACAGAGCACAUGUGGGAAAGCUUUAGGGGUGUGCAGCUUCUGAACUACACAGACGUUUCAGGUUCCCACAGCUCCUCCUGCUGUGUCUUUUCCUCUCUGGCAAGAGGAAAACCCACUUGGCUUUCCCGUGCAGGGCUGCCUGAGGCUGUGAACUGCAAUUCCCAGAGCAUCCUCGGGCUCCUGGUUGUCACAGGAUGAGUGGCAGCUUCAGGCAAGCCCUGCCUUAGCCUCAGAUUUUUGUCAGCACUUAAAAUUUAAGAACUCGCUCUGGCCCACAAGUUCUAAGGACGGCAGAUCAGCUCUGUUCACAAAAUGAAUUAUUUAUUAAGCAGACAGGAGAUAACAGACAAAAUUUGUCAAAUGAGCCGUUUUACUUGUGUUGUUAUCAGUCUGUGUAGAUCAGGAUGUUCCCCACUCCUUGAGUCUCAAAAUCACAGGAAAGAUGAGAGGAAAAUCGGGAUCAAAGGAAAGUUCUCGGAGUUAAUUUUUCAGCUGCAGUGACUGGAGGAGUACAACAGAUGGGCCAGGGACUCCCUUCACUUCCAUUCAAGCUUCUCAGUCCAGGGUUCUCCUUCAGUGAAUUUCAGCAUUUCACAUUUCCUGGCUCAACCUGUCAAUUAUUAGACAAUUCUACAAACUACCCCAAAAAUAUACAUGUGCUAAUUAAUAGUCUGGUUGCCUCAAAGGUGUGAUGUAACUCAAAGUGUUCCUACCUUCUCCAGUCAGGAAUUGUGCGCCUUACCCUGAGGAGGUAGGAGGAGGUGAACAAAACUGCUUCCAUAACCACAGGGAAAUCCGGGUUUCAUUCAGGGAGAAAUCCGCGGGGACAAGCAGGGUGAAGACACGAGCAUUCCGAGGCAACACUGUCAGGUCAGUCAACCCCUUUCAGAAAACACACAAAUAUCAAUCAGCGGGAAACACACAAGUAGCAACCAGCGGUUCUGGCCCUUAGCUGCGAGCAGCGCGCUGCGGUCGCGGCCGCCACACGGGGGCACCGGAGGAGCGGUUUGCGAAACCUGGGCUCCUUUCAGAGCCCCAAAACCAUCUCUGCCAACCGGACCGGGCUUGGUGCUUCUGGCGUGGACAGGCGGCGCCAGCUCUGGGUGGUUUUGUUCCACUCUCAGCUGGCGCUGGGGACACCGUGUGAGAAUGCCGUGUGACGGUGUCAAUGCUGGUGAAUGCCCAAGUUCACGGUUUAGCUCCCCUGAUGCCGUGCUGGGUGUGGCUUUGGGUCAUGCCUGGCCACAGGACCCUGUGGCAGUGGGCAAGUCGGCAGGCUUGGCUGCUCUGCUGUCCCAGCCCUGUCGUUUUUGGUCACUGCUUGUUUCUGCAGAGAGGAAAAGCAUCCCUGCUUGGCCGCCGUUUCCCUGCAAGCAGCAGAGCCCAGGCCCGAGGCUGCUCGGCGUUGGUGUGACCCACUGUUGGUGUCACCUGCCCUGGGCACAGUCACCACAGCUGCCCAGAGCCAGGAGAUGCAGCUGAGGGAUCCAGGAGGAUGCAGCUCUUGUUUUCAAGGAGGACAGGAAAAAUCAUUUAAUUUGACCCAGCUAUGCCAAAACCUUUGGGUUUGGGUGGGAUUGAGCUGCCAAACCGUGGAGAUUCCAGCCCUGAUGGCCUGCUCUGGAGGACACCUGGUCCUGCACGUGCUGUGGGGUCUCUCUCAUUUCUCAGUGGUCAUCCAAGUUUCAUGUGCAAUCGCUGCUCCCCUGUGAGAAGUCCCCAGGAUGGAGCCAUUGAAUGCUGUGAGGGGAUGGGGGCCCCAAAGAUGCAAUUCUGGGAACAUCCUGGCAGCCCUGGGGGGUCCCUCGGGGGAAAUAAGGGUGGCACUGGCAUUAGCAGAGGUUUCAGACGUGACAAUAAAACAAACCUUGGACAUCC